AUGGCGGGCCGUGACUGGCGCUGAGGUGGAGCACCACCGGGGAGCGGUCCGCAGAACCUGCUGCCGUGCGCCUGGGCGAACCGA
rnacentral:ncRNA from 2 species